GACGAACGCUGGCGGCGUGCCUAACACAUGCAAGUCGAACGGGAUCCAUGGAGUGCUUGCACUCCGGAAGAUCUAGUGGCGAACGGGUGAGUAACACGUGAGAAACCUGCCCCAGACUCUGGGAUAACCUCGGGAAACCGAAGCUAAUACCGGAUAUUCUCCUUUGGUCGCAUGGCCAGUUGAGGAAAGUUUUUCGGUCUGGGAGGGUCUCGCGGCCUAUCAGCUAGUUGGUGGGGUAACGGCCCACCAAGGCUACGACGGGUAGCUGGUUUGAGAGAACGAUCAGCCACACUGGAACUGAGACACGGUCCAGACUCCUACGGGAGGCAGCAGUGGGGAAUCUUGCGCAAUGGGCGAAAGCCUGACGCAGCAACGCCGCGUGCGGGAUGAAGGCCUCGGUUGUAACCGACGUUCUAGCAGGACGGAAA
rnacentral:rRNA from 1 species